GUGGGGAAUCUUCCGCAAUGGACGAAAGUCUGACGGAGCGACGCCGCGUGAGUGAAGAAGGCCUUCGGGUCGUAAAGCUCUGUCAUCAGGGACGAACGGCCGGUGGAGUGGAAAGCCACCGGAUUGACGGUACCUGAGAAGGAAGCCACGGCUAACUACGUGCCAGCAGCCGCGGUAAUACGUAGGUGGCAAGCGUUGUCCGGAAUUAUUGGGCGUAAAGCGCGCGCAGGUGGGAUCUUAAGUCCAUUUUUAAAGUUCGGAGCUCAACUCCGUGAUGGGAUGGAAACUGGGAUUCUUGAGUACCGGAGAGGAAAGCGGAAUUCCCCGUGUAGCGGUGAAAUGCGUAGAUAUGGGGAGGAACACCAGUGGCGAAGGCGGCUUUCUGGACGGUGUCUGACACUGAGGCGCGAAAGCGUGGGGAGCAAACAGGAUUAGAAACCCGAGUAGUCC
rnacentral:rRNA from 1 species